GCAGUCGUACGCUUCUUUUUCCCCGGAGCUUGCUCCACCGGAAAAAGAAGAGUGGCGAACGGGUGAGUAACACGUGGGUAACCUGCCCAUCAGAAGGGGAUAACACUUGGAAACAGGUGCUAAUACCGUAUAACAAUCGAGACCGCAUGGUUUUGAUUUGAAAGGCGCUUUCGGGUGUCGCUGAUGGAUGGACCCGCGGUGCAUUAGCUAGUUGGUGAGGUAACGGCUCACCAAGGCCACGAUGCAUAGCCGACCUGAGAGGGUGAUCGGCCACAUUGGGACUGAGACACGGCCCAAACUCCUACGGGAGGCAGCAGUAGGGAAUCUUCGGCAAUGGACGAAAGUCUGACCGAGCAACGCCGCGUGAGUGAAGAAGGUUUUCGGAUCGUAAAACUCUGUUGUUAGAGAAGAACAAGGAUGAGAGUAACUGUUCAUCCCUUGACGGUAUCUAACCAGAAAGCCACGGCUAACUACGUGCCAGCAGCCGCGGUAAUACGUAGGUGGCAAGCGUUGUCCGGAUUUAUUGGGCGUAAAGCGAGCGCAGGCGGUUUCUUAAGUCUGAUGUGAAAGCCCCCGGCUCAACCGGGGAGGGUCAUUGGAAACUGGGAGACUUGAGUGCAGAAGAGGAGAGUGGAAUUCCAUGUGUAGCGGUGAAAUGCGUAGAUAUAUGGAGGAACACCAGUGGCGAAGGCGGCUCUCUGGUCUGUAACUGACGCUGAGGCUCGAAAGCGUGGGGAGCAACAGGAUUAGAUACCCUGGUAGUC
rnacentral:rRNA from 1 species